rnacentral:rRNA from 1 species
UUCUUAUACUAUAUCAUUAUAAGUAAAAUCUGCUCAAUGAUAAUUAAAUAGCCGCAGAAUUUUAACUGUGCUAAGGUAGCAUAAUCAUUUACCUUUUAAUUGAAGGUUUGUAUGAAAGAUUUUACAUUUAAAUUAUUUUUUUCCUAAAAUAAAUUGAAUUUUUAUUAAAAAUAAAAAUAUUUUUAUAAAUAAAAAAGACGACAAGACCCUAUUGAACUUUACUUUAGUUAAGCUGGGGAAGCUAAUUAAAUAUUAUUUUAAUAUUUGUAACUUUAAUAAGUAUCUGGAGCCCCAAUUUGAACAAGUUACCAUAGGGAUAACAGCGUAAUAAUUUUUAAAAGUUCUUAUUAAAAAAAAAGUUUACGACCUCGAUGUUGAAUUAAAUUUACUUUAAAACGCAAUAGUAUUAAAAGUAGGUCUGUUCGACCUUUAAAUUUUUACAU